CAUCGCUCAACGGAUAAAAGGUACUCCGGGGAUAACAGGCUGAUACCGCCCAAGAGUUCACAUCGACGGCGGUGUUUGGCACCUCGAUGUCGGCUCAUCACAUCCUGGGGCUGAAGCCGGUCCCAAGGGUAUGGCUGUUCGCCAUUUAAAGUGGUACGCGAGCUGGGUUUAGAACGUCGUGAGACAGUUCGGUCCCUAUCUGCCGUGGGCGCUGGAGAUUUGAGGGAAGCUGCUCCUAGUACGAGAGGACCGGGGUGGACGAACCUCUGGUGUUCCGGUUGUAACGCCAGUUGCAUUGCCGGGUAGCUAUGUUCGGAAGGGAUAACCGCUGAAAGCAUCUAAGCGGGAAGCCCCUCCCAAGAUAAGAUCUCCCUGACCCCUUGAGGGUCCUGAAGGGCCGUCCAAGACUAGGACGUUGAUAGGCUGGGUGUGUAAGCGUUGUGAGGCGUUGAGCUAACCAGUACUAAUUGCCCGUGAGGCUUGACC
rnacentral:rRNA from 14 species